rnacentral:rRNA from 1 species
GAUGAACGCUGGCGGCGUGCCUAAUACAUGCAAGUCGAGCGAACAGACGAGGAGCUUGCUUCUCUGACGUUAGCGGCGGACGGGUGAGUAACACGUGGAUAACCUACCUAUAAGACUGGGAUAACUUCGGGAAACCGGAGCUAAUACCGGAUAAUAUUUUGAACCGCAUGGUUCAAUAGUGAAAGACGGUCUUGCUGUCACUUAUAGAUGGAUCCGCGCUGCAUUAGCUAGUUGGUAAGGUAACGGCUUACCAAGGCAACGAUGCAUAGCCGACCUGAGAGGGUGAUCGGCCACACUGGAACUGAGACACGGUCCAGACUCCUACGGGAGGCAGCAGUAGGGAAUCUUCCGCAAUGGGCGAAAGCCUGACGGAGCAACGCCGCGUGAGUGAUGAAGGUCUUCGGAUCGUAAAACUCUGUUAUUAGGGAAGAACAUAUGUGUAAGUAACUGUGCACAUCUUGACGGUACCUAAUCAGAAAGCCACGGCUAACUACGUG